rnacentral:rRNA from 1 species
UACGGAGGGUCCGAGCGUUAUCCGGAUUUAUUGGGUUUAAAGGGAGCGUAGGCGGGUUGUUAAGUCAGUUGUGAAAGUUUGCGGCUCAACCGUAAAAUUGCAGUUGAUACUGGCAUCCUUGAGUACAGUAGAGGUAGGCGGAAUUCGUGGUGUAGCGGUGAAAUGCUUAGAUAUCACGAAGAACUCCGAUUGCGAAGGCAGCCUGCUGGACUGUAACUGACGCUGAUGCUCGAAAGUGUGGGUAUCAAACAGG